GACGAACGCUGGCGGCGUGCUUAACACAUGCAAGUCGAGCGGAGCGGAUAACGGGUGAGUAACGCGUGAGUAACUGCACCGCUCUCUGGGAUGACAGUUGGAAACGGCUGCUAAUAACGGAUAGUGGGGGAUGAAUCGCGUGCUAUCAGCUUGUUGGUGGGGUAGUGGCCUAACAAGGCGACGACGGGUAGCCGGCCUGGGAGGGCGACCGGCCACAUUGGGCUGAGCUACGGCCCAAACGCGUACGGGAGGCAGCGGUGGGGAAUAUUGCACAAUAGGGGAAACCCUGAUGCAGCAACGCGCGGGCGGGAUGACGGCCUUCGGGUUGUAAACCGCUUUCAGCUAUGACGCGGUAGUGGCAGAAGAAGCACCGGCUAACUACGUGCCAGCCGCCGCGGUAAUAC
rnacentral:rRNA from 1 species